GACGAACGCUGGCGGCGUGCCUAAUACAUGCAAGUCGAGCGAGCUUGCCUAGAUGAAUUUGGUGCUUGCACCCGAUGAAACUAGAUACAAGCGAGCGGCGGACGGGUGAGUAACACGUGGGUAACCUGCCCAAGAGACUGGGAUAACACCUGGAAACAGAUGCUAAUACCGGAUAACAACACUAGACGCAUGUCUAGAGUUUAAAAGAUGGUUCUGCUAUCACUCUUGGAUGGACCUGCGGUGCAUUAGCUAGUUGGUAAGGCAACGGCUUACCAAGGCAAUGAUGCAUAGCCGAGUUGAGAGACUGAUCGGCCACAUUGGGACUGAGACACGGCCCAAACUCCUACGGGAGGCAGCAGUAGGGAAUCUUCCACAAUGGACGCAAGUCUGAUGGAGCAACGCCGCGUGAGUGAAGAAGGGUUUCGGCUCGUAAAGCUCUGUUGAUAGUGAAGAAAGAUAGAGGUAGUAACUGGCCUUUAUUUGACGGUAAUUACUUAGAAAGUCACGGCUAACUACGUG
rnacentral:rRNA from 1 species